rnacentral:sRNA from 1 species
CGAAAGCCUGACGGAGCAAUACCGCGUGAGGGAGGAAGGCUCUUGGGUUGUAAACCUCUUUUCUCAGGGAAGAAGCUCUGACGGUACCUGAGGAAUCAGCAUCGGCUAACUCCGUGCCAGCAGCCGCGGUAAUACGGAGGAUGCAAGCGUUAUCCGGAAUGAUUGGGCGUAAAGCGUCCGCAGGUGGCGAUUCAAGUCUGCUGUCAAAGGUCGGGGCUCAACCCUGAACAGGCGGUGGAAACUGAACAGCUAGAGUGCGGUAGGGGUAGAGGGAAUUCCCGGUGUAGCGGUGAAAUGCGUAGAGAUCGGGAGGAACACCAGUGGCGAAAGCGCUCUACUAGGCCUGCACUGACACUCAGGGACGAAAGCUAGGGGAGCGAAUGGGAUUAGAUACCCCAGUAGUCCUAGCCGUAAACGAUGGAUACUAGGCGUGGCUUGUAUCGACCCGAGCCGUGCCGGAGCUAACGCGUUAAGUAUCCCGCCUGGGGAGUACGCCCCCAAGCGUGAAACUCAAAGGAAUUGACGGGGGCCCGCACAAGCGGUGGAGUAUGUGGUUUAAUUCGAUGCAACGCGAAGAACCUUACCAGGGCUUGACAUGUCCGGAAUCCGAGGGAAACUUCGGAGUGCCUACGGGAGCCGGAACACAGGUGGUGCAUGGCUGUCGUCAGCUCGUGUCGUGAGAUGUUGGGUUAAGUCCCGCAACGAGCGCAACCCUCGGGCUUAGUUGCCAGCGGGUAAAGCCGGGCACUCUAGGGAGACUGCCGGUGACAAACCGGAGGAAGGUGGGGAUGACGUCAAGUCAGCAUGCCCCUUACGUCCUGGGCUACACACGUACUACAAUGCUGCGGACAAAGGGCAGCAAGCCAGCGAUGGCAAGCCAAUCCCAUAAACCGUGGCUCAGUUCAGAUUGCAGGCUGCAACUCGCCUGCAUGAAGGCGGAAUCGCUAGUAAUCGCCGGUCAGCCAUACGGCGGUGAAUACGUUCCCGGGCCUUGUACACACCGCCCGUCACACCAUGGAAGCUGGUUAUGCCCGAAGUCGUUACCCUAACCCUUUCGAGGAGGGGGAUGCCCGAACGCAGAGCUGGGUGACUGGGGUGAAGUCGUAACAAGGUAGCCGUACCGGAAGGUGUGGCUGGAUCACCUCCUUUAUAGGGAGACCAACCGAUCUCUACAGCAAAAGGCAAGCAGUCAAAAUAGCUGGAGAAAGGUCAUCCCAAGGUCGGUCGAAGACAAAAGUGCAUAUAUAGAGAGGCUUUCAAACUAUAAAGUGGUUUGGUUAAAAGCAUGGGGGCUAUUGGCUCAGGUGGUUAGAGCGCACCCCUGAUAAGGGUGAGGUCCCUGGUUCGAGUCCAGGAUGGCCCACCUAAAACUAGUCAAGAGUUUUAAGUUUUGAAUUAGUAGCAAAUCAAAGCUCAAAAUUUCUAACUCGAAAGAAGCUAUCUAACUAAAGGGCUGCCAAGGUAGGGCAGAUAGUGAGUAAUUUGAAGUUGCUAAUCUCCAGUUAAGGGAGAGUGAAAAGAUUUUCCGGUUAGUAAGCAAGUUGCACACAAAUUAGCCUUGGCUGCGAUAGACUAGAUAAGCUUAGAAAAACAGCUUCAGCACCGAGACGGCAAAAAUAAUGUCAGACUGCUGGAGAAGAAACCAGCCAGCACCUUGAAAACUGCAUAGUAACGCGUAAAACAUAGAAGCAGGCAGACUGUUGAUACCAGAAAUGGCGUUUUGCAGUCAGCAAGUUUUGAAACACCAAUGUGGUCAAGCUACAUCGGGCUGAUGGUGGAUACCUAGGCACACAGAGGCGAAGAAGGACGUGGCGACCGACGAAACACUCCGGGGAGCUGGAAGCAAGCAUUGAGCCGGAGGUAUCCGAAUGGGGCAACCCUUAGUACAGUUUGCUGAAUCCAUAGGCAAACAUGAGCGAACCCAGCCAACUGAAACAUCUUAGUAGCUGGCGGAAAAGAAAGAAAACUCGAUUCUCCAAGUAGUGGUGAGCGAACGGGGAACAGCCUAAACCAGUUGAUACUUCAACUGGGGUAGUGGGACAGCGACAUGGAAUCUCUAAGUUAGACAAAGCAGCUAAAUACUGCACCAGAGAAGGUGAAAGUCCUGUAGUCGAAAACUGAAGGAUACUAGCUGAAUCCCGAGUAGCACGGGACACGAGAAAUCCCGUGUGAAUCAGCGAGGACCACCUCGUAAGGCUAAAUACUAAUGUGUGACCGAUAGUGAACCAGGACCGCGAGGGAAAGGUGAAAAGAACCCCGGAAGGGGAGUGAAAUAGAACAUGAAACCAUCAGCUUGCAAGCAGUGGGAGGACGAUUCAACGUCUGACCGCGUGCCUGUUGAAGAAUGAGCCGGCGAGUUAUAAGCACUGGUAGGUUAAGGUGAACAGCCGGAGCCAUAGCGAAAGCGAGUCUGAUAAGGGCGCAAUUAAUCAGUGUUUAUAGACCCGAACCCGGGUGAUCUAACCAUGUCCAGGAUGAAGCUUGGGUAACACCAAGUGGAGGUCCGCACCGACCGAUGUUGAAAAAUCGGCGGAUGAGGUGUGGUUAGGGGUGAAAUGCCAAUCGAACCCGGAGCUAGCUGGUUCUCCCCGAAAUGUGUUGAGGCGCAGCGGUGAUGAUUAUAACUGGGGGGUAAAGCACUGUUUCGGUGCGGGCUGCUAGCGCGGUACCAAAUCGAGACAAACUCUGAAUACCCAGCGCAGACAUCACCAGUGAGACGGUGGGGGAUAAGCUUCAUCGUCAAGAGGGAAACAGCCCAGACCACCAGCUAAGGUCCCGAAAUUGGCGCUAAGUGAUUAAGGAGGUGGGAGUGCAAAGACAACCAGGAGGUUUGCCUAGAAGCAGCCAACCUUAAAAGAGUGCGUAAUAGCUCACUGGUCAAACGCUCCUGCGCCGAAAAUGAACGGGGCUAAGCGCCGUACCGAAGCUGUGGGAUAUGUUGCAUAUCGGUAGGGGAGCGUUCCGCGGUAGGGUGAAGCACUAGCGGUAAGCAGGUGUGGACGAAGCGGAAGUGAGAAUGUCGGCUUGAGUAGCGAAAACAUUGGUGAGAAUCCAAUGCCCCGAAACCCUAAGGGUUCCUCCGGCAGGUUCGUCCACGGAGGGUUAGUCAGGACCUAAGGCGAGGCCGAACGGCGUAGUCGAUGGACAACGGGUGAACAAUCCCGUACUGAGGCUAAUUGGUGCAGAGGGACGGAGAAGGCAAAGCCAGCCGGAAGUUGGUUCCCGGUUCAACUGUUCAAGGCAAUGAGAGGCGGGGAAAACGCCUUGAGCUGAGGCAGGAGUACGAGGCACUACGGUGCCGAAGUGGUGUAGUCCAGCUCCCAAGAAAAGCUCUAAACACCAUAAAUUAGUCUUACCUGUACCCGAAACCGACACAGGUAGGGAGGUUGAGAAUACCAAGGGGCGCGAGAUAACUCUCUCUAAGGAACUCGGCAAAAUUGCCCCGUAACUUCGGAAGAAGGGGUGCCCACGCAAGUGGGUCGCAGUGAAGAGAUCCAGGCGGCUGUUUACCAAAAACACAGGUCUCCGCUAAGUCAAAUGACGACGUAUGGGGGCUGACGCCUGCCCAGUGCCGGAAGGUUAAGGAAGUCGGUCAGGGCCUUGGCCUAAAGCUGGCGACCGAAGCCCCGGUGAACGGCGGCCGUAACUAUAACGGUCCUAAGGUAGCGGAAUUCCUUGUCGGGUAAGUUCCGACCCGCACGAAAGGCGUAACGAUCUGGAAGGUGUCUCAGAGAGAGACUCGGCGAAAUAGGAAUGUCUGUGAAGAUACGGACUGCCUGCACCUGGACAGAAAGACCCUAUGAAGCUUUACUGUAGCCUGGAAUGGUGUCCGGGCUUCGCCUGCGCAGGAUAGGUGGGAGGCGUUGAACUUUCCCUUGUGGGGGGAAGGGAGCCAACGGUGAGAUACCACUCUGGCGAAGCUAGGAUUCUAACUGGUAGCCGUUAGCCGGCACUAGAACAGUUUCAGGUGGGCAGUUUGACUGGGGCGGUCGCCUCCUAAAAGAUAACGGAGGCGCGCAAAGGUUCCCUCAGGCUGGUUGGAAAUCAGCCGCAGAGUGUAAAGGCACAAGGGAGCUUGACUGCAAGAGCAACAACUCAAGCAGGUAGGAAACUAGGCCUUAGUGAUACGACGGCGCUGAGUGGAAGGGCCGUCGCUCAACGGAUAAAAGUUACUCUAGGGAUAACAGGCUGAUCUCCGCCAAGAGUUCACAUCGACGCGGAGGUUUGGCACCUCGAUGUCGGCUCAUCGCAACCUGGGG